CAUACUGCCCUCAGCAUCAAGCCACUACAAGUAGCUGUGCUAGCUGAACUGCUCCAUGAAAAAUAUUCUCUGUGCCAUUUCCAACCAGAGCAAUUUAGAAGCUAAAAAACACGAUGAAAAACUGUAGUGAAGGGAUUAAAAAAAUGGCACAAAAUGAAUGAAGUAAUAAUUACAGCAAAUGACCUUACGCAUCAAAUCUAUACCUCGUUGAACUGCCUUCAGCUUCUCAAGAGAAUAUGCACUGAAAUCAAAAUGCCCCAAAAACUAUAUACCUCAAUCUUGAGACCCAAUUUGUGGACCCAAACGUGUAAUGCAGAGUGCUACUAUUCUGACCUGUAACAAAUUUAAAAAACAAAACAAAAAAAUUCCCAGUGAAAUCAC
rnacentral:lncRNA from 1 species